rnacentral:rRNA from 1 species
UACGUAGGCAGCGAGCGUUGUUCGGAGUUACUGGGCGUAAAGAGUGCGUAGGCGGUUUUCUAAGUUUGGUGUGAAAUCUCCCGGCUUAACUGGGAGGGUGCGGCGAAGACUGGAAGGCUUGAGUAUGGGAGAGGUAAGCGGAAUUCCUGGUGUAGCGGUGAAAUGCGUAGAUAUCAGGAGGAACACCUGCGGUGUAGACGGCUUACUGGACCAUAACUGACGCUGAGGCACGAAAGCGUGGGUAGCAAACAGG